rnacentral:miRNA from 1 species
GAGGUGGCAGGAUUGCUUGAGCCCAGGAGUUUGAGGCUGCAAGGGGCUAUGAUCACACCACUGCACUCCAGCCUGAGUGACAGAGCAAGACCUUGUCUC